ensembl:lncRNA
GUUGCUUUGUUUCUGCUUAGCAACUCCUGAGGUAAAAGGUCUUAAAGAUAAAUAUGCAAUAAGUGAACAGGAAAUGUGUGAAGGUGAGCCGGGUGAAACAAAAUGUUGUAGAUAAUGGAAACUUUGUAAUGAAUGAAUGCAAAACAUGCUUACAGACACAAACAUGACAGGGGUUUAUUUUACAGGGUAAAGGUGGACCACAGGUUGCUUUGUUUCUGCUUAGCAACUACUGAGGUAAAUGGUGUUAAAGAUAAAUAUGCAAUAAGUGAACAAGAAAUGUGUGAGGGUGAGCCGGGUGAAACAAAAUGUUGUAGAUAAUGGAAACUUGUCUAACGGGCAUUAACAGUAACCUUUGCAUGUUAUGUAUAUGCUUGAGGCCAAAGGAGGCAUAAAUCCAGAUAGAAAACUUUGAAGUGUGCUUUUUAGCGGAGAUUUAGGCUGACAGGGGGAUGGUGUAUAUUUUACCCGGGGUGUGUUUAAUAAAAAAACUAAAAGCGUUGCUCACACACAUAAAGAAAAUACAUAAGUGAAAUCAAAUGCAAUGUAUGAUUUCACUUUUAUUGGGAAACAAUCAGGCUAGAAAUGUGAGUAACCUAUGUUUAAACUGUGAAAACACUCUCCACAUACAUUAAAACUGUGCAACUCUGAGUGGGCAAUGUAAUGAAGCAACUGUUACAUAUCUGUAUUAAACUAGCCAACAUAGACUCACCACCACAUGAUGUUGCCCUGCAGCGGGGGCAGAAAAUCAUUUCCAAACCAGGGAUCUUAUGUUGAUUAUCAUAUUCUUACUUAUGUACACACACACACACAGAAGGGAAAAAAUUUCAAAACAAAACAAAAAACAACUUCGCUUAACCUGUCAAGCACAGGAGCAAAAUAAAAAUCUCUUUGGGCUCUGUUAAAAUUUCUUUAGUAAAAGUGUAAAAGGCCAAACCUAGGAGGUUGGGCAACCCGGAAAGUCCC